UAAUACGGAGGAUCCGAGCGUUAUCCGGAUUUAUUGGGUUUAAAGGGAGCGUAGAUGGAUGUUUAAGUCAGUUGUGAAAGUUUGCGGCUCAACCGUAAAAUUGCAGUUGAUACUGGAUAUCUUGAGUGCAGUUGAGGCAGGCGGAAUUCGUGGUGUAGCGGUGAAAUGCUUAGAUAUCACGAAGAACUCCGAUUGCGAAGGCAGCCUGCUAAGCUGCAACUGACAUUGAGGCUCGAAAGUGUGGGUAUCAAACAGGAUUAGAUACCCUGGUAGUCCACACGGUAAACGAUGAAUACUCGCUGUUUGCGAUAUACAGCAAGCGGCCAAGCGAAAGCGUUAAGUAUUCCACCUGGGGAGUACGCCGGCAACGGUGAAACUCAAAGGAAUUGACGGGGGCCCGCACAAGCGGAGGAACAUGUGGUUUAAUUCGAUGAUACGCGAGGAACCUUACCCGGGCUUAAAUUGCAGAUGAAUUACGGUGAAAGCCGUAAGCCGCAAGGCAUCUGUGAAGGUGCUGCAUGGUUGUCGUCAGCUCGUGCCGUGAGGUGUCGGCUUAAGUGCCAUAACGAGCGCAACCCUUGUUGUCAGUUACUAACAGGUUCCGCUGAGGACUCUGACAAGACUGCCAUCGUAAGAUGUGAGGAAGGUGGGGAUGACGUCAAAUCAGCACGGCCCUUACGUCCGGGGCUACACACGUGUUACAAUGGGGGGUACAGAAGGCAGCUACCUGGUGACAGGAUGCUAAUCCCAAAAGCCUCUCUCAGUUCGGAUCGAAGUCUGCAACCCGACUUCGUGAAGCUGGAUUCGCUAGUAAUCGCGCAUCAGCCA
rnacentral:rRNA from 1 species